rnacentral:lncRNA from 1 species
AAAAGAUUAGAAAAUCUAGAACAUAAUCUACAAAUAGGAAAUGCCUUAUUAGAUAAAAACCUUAGAGGAAAAGAUAGGAUUAUAAUUAAUCCACCCCAAGAUUUUAGAAUAACACAAAAUAAAGGGAAAAAACAUGAAGAAAAACAAUAUAUGAUAACAGAUGUAGAAGAAAUAGAACAAAAAUUCUUAGAAUCUACAGGAGAAGAGUAUGAAAAAUAUAAAAAACAGUUAGAAGAAUUAACUGAAAAAAUGGAAAAUAUAAAGAUGAAUACUAAUCCAUCUUCAAGUCAAGAUAUAAAAGUAGAAUUCAGUAGUGAUGAAGAACAAGAUUUUCCUUAUGGUACCCCAAUACCU